rnacentral:lncRNA from 1 species
CGCUAGGCCACUCCCUCGAUGGUGAUCAGCAUCUCAUCCUUUAUUGAUAAUCAAAUAGCAUGUAGGCACAUUUUGUUUGCACGCACAAGCAGAAUCAAUCUGUGGCAAUCUCAUAUUCCUAGCUUAAAAAGUUGUUCUUUAAAAUCCUACGUGCAGUCGGAAAUUUCAAGCCAAUUUUAUGAUUCCAUGUCACAGCAGCCCA